rnacentral:pre_miRNA from 1 species
UGAUGAUGAUGAUGAUGAUGAUGAUGAUGAUGAUGAUGAUGGGGGAUGAUGAUGAUGAUGCUCUUACCACAUACAAAGUCAUCAUAUCAUCAUCAUCAUCAUCAUCAUCAUCAUCAUCAUCAUCA